rnacentral:rRNA from 1 species
GUUAGGAAUCUUCCACAAUGGGGGCAACCCUGAUGGAGCAACACCGCGUGCUGGAUGAAGGCCUUCGGGUCGUAAACAGCUUUUGUAUACGAAGAAUAUGACGGUAAUAUACGAAUAAGGGUCGGCUAACUACGUGCCAGCAGCCGCGGUCAUACGUAGGACCCAAGCGUUAUCCGGAGUGACUGGGCGUAAAGAGUUGCGUAGGCGGCUUAUUAAGCGAGUAGUGAAAUCUGGUGGCUCAACCAUCAACACAUUGCUCGAACUGAUAGGCUUGAGAAUGGUAGAGGUAGUUGGAAUUUCUUGUGUAGGAGUGAAAUCCGUAGAUAUAAGAAGGAACACCAAUGGCGUAGGCAGACUACUGGACCAUUUCUGACGCUGAGGCACGAAAGCGUGGGGAGCGAACCGGAUUAGAUACCCUGGUAGUCC